GGAUCAGCGUCGGCGGAGGGAGCUACUUAAUCGUGUGGUGAAGCCUCCAUCGACGCGGGAUCAUUGCAUGAGACUCCACGUUAGUCUUCAGCUUAAAGACACUAAUUUCACCUGGCAAUGAAGCUAUUUGUGGGAUUCAUGAUUUUGCUUUUCACUUAUGCAGCUUCAACCGCAGCUCCAAUAAACAUUGCUUCAGCAUCAAUAGAGAAUGCAAGUCCUCAAAUUUACCUUGACAUUGGCAUCAUAGCUGGCAUUGUCAUUGUCACUGUGAUUGUCUUUGCAUUGAUAGGAAUGGCUGAUCAGGAGCAGGCUGGUACAACUACAAGUCAGGACUCAUUCUGUGCAGAAUGUUGCAACGACUGCUGGAAAUGUUGUAGAGGUUUUGUAUCCUGUUGUUGUACUGAAUCCCUCAACAUAGCUUGUGACAUAUGCUGCUGUCUAUUUUAAAUGGAAAAAUUCAUCAACAAUAACCGCUUCCCUCCUCCUUUGGAUGCUGUACACACUACAGUUAUUGUCAGUUGAUUGCCUGGGCUCACCUUUCAUUUCACAGAAUACGAAGUGUUUAUAUAUAAAUAAAAAUAAUAACAAUAAUAAUAACAAUAACAAUACAUUGUAUGUUAAGCACCUUUCAAAACACUCAAGGUCAUCUUACGCAAAAUAAGUAAAUGAUAAAAUAAUAGAAAAAAAAUACCCACCCCUCUCUUUUCACAUCAGAGAUAUCCCAUAUUCUCCUGCACUAGUUGCUAUAGAGUAUUUUCUUGUUUGUGUUUAUUGAAUAUAUCUGUACUAUGUUGUUUUGGUGUUGUUGACAGUAGUCCUUUAAUAUUACACAAAGAUAACUAGAUUAAAUAUAAAAUACAAUCUAAAUGAUGAUUUAACUCAUUAAGGGAAAAAGAAUCUUUCCAAACCUACCUGACGCUACAUGAAGAAUUCCACCCUUGUUAACACAUCAACCACAUUUCUUUGAAAGUUGUUUUCAGUAUCUCAGCCCACACCCAGGCUUGUCAUUGGCAGGUCUGAUUACUCAAGAAAUCAUUUAAAUAGAAACUGUCUGAGAAAUUGAAGUAGGCCAAAAGACGUCAAAAAGCAUAGAAUAUCUGGCUAUUAGUUGACAUUGUAAAGCUGAGGCACAUGUAGGUUAAGCAGAAGGUCAGUGAUCUGAAACACACCAGCAAGUCCAUCGUUGAACAGCUCAGAAAAAAACAAGAUGAAUAUUUUUAGAGUGGCUUAGUCUUAAUUUACAUCAGAUUAAGAUGCUUUGAUUGGACCUUAAACAUGCUGUUCAUGCUCGAAAACCCUCCAAUGUGGCUACGUUCAAAUAAUUUGGCAAAAAAGAGAGAGCAAAGGUGGCAAAGCGCUUUGGUUUAAUUUGUUACACAAGUAGAUUUGGUUAGUUUUUAUGUUGGGUUUUUUUUCAUUAAUAAAUUAAAUCAUAACUUAAAAAAAUAUUCUACAUAAUCAUGUUGUGUUUGUCUAUUACUACAAUUUGAUUGAUGAUCUGAAAAAUUUGCAAAACCUAAUAAAUCAG